GUGCUCGCUUGGGCAACACAUAUACUAAAAUUGGAACGAUACAGAGAUUAGCAUGGUACCUGUGCAAGGAUGAGAUGCAAAUUCGUGAAGUGUUCCAUAUUUAA